UACGUAGGGGGCAAGCGUUGUCCGGAUUUAUUGGGCGUAAAGAGCGUGUAGGCGGCCUGACAGGUCCGUUGUGAAACUGGAGGCUCAACCUCCAGCCGUCGAUGGAAACCGUCAGGCUAGAGUCCGGAAGAGGAGAGUGGAAUUCCUGGUGUAGCGGUGAAAUGCGCAGAUAUCAGGAAGAACACCCGUGGCGAAGGCGGCUCUCUGGGCCGAUACUGACGCUGAGGAGCGAAAGCGUGGGGAGCGAACAGGAUUAGAUACCCUUGUAGU
rnacentral:rRNA from 1 species